UCAACUUCUGAUUUCUUAAACGACCAUGGAUUUUGUCGUUCGUGUCGAUUCGGCUGGUUUUCUUCUCACCGGCAAACGGACUGCAUUCAAUCGUUGUCAUUAACAACCUUCUUAACUCCUUCUCCCCACUCCAUCCAUGAUUCUUCAUACAAUGCAUCCUUCACUAUCUUCUGUUCUCUGAAUCUGCAGCUAUAAAUAGGUGAGUUUGUAUCCGUAAAAUUCAUCAUUUGAUUUCCUCUCAUAUAAAUCCAAAACUUCUGCAGAUUAGAAUGGCCAACUUCGCUCUCCUUCCCGCUGACUUGAAAGUUGGGCACAGUGUAGCACCACCGUCGAAGUUCGCCAG
rnacentral:lncRNA from 1 species